rnacentral:rRNA from 1 species
CCCUUAGAUGUUCUGGGCCGCACGCGCGCUACACUGACGAUGGCAACGAGUUUUUCCUUCGCCGAAAGGUGUGGGUAAUCUUUUGAAACAUCGUCGUGCUGGGGAUAGAUCAUUGCAAUUUUUGAUCUUGAACGAGGAAUUCCUAGUAAGCGCGAGUCAUCAGCUCGCGUUGAUUACGUCCCUGCCCUUUGUACACACCGCCCGUCGCUACUACCGAUUGAAUGGUCCGGUGAAAUCUUCGGAUUGCUGACCAAGAUCCAGCAAUGGAGCUUGGUUGCGAGAAGUUGAUUAAACCUUAUUAUUUAGAGGAAGGAGAGGUCGUAACA